ensembl:lncRNA
CGAUGAAGGACUCACACAUGCUGAGCAGCUGAGUUCAGUGACCCUGCAGUGUGGGAGCUUAUUUAAUCAGCAGAAUAGUGAGAACGAAUCCAAAAUGAUCGACAUUCCUGUGAAAAGCAAAGAUGAAAGAAAUUUAGUUACUUUAAUAAUCAAAUUGAAUUGAAUUCAUCACUCGUUUAUGAUUCAGGUGAAGUCUCUGCUGCAUGUGCUCACAUGUUUAAACGACUGUGAUCUGACAGAAAAGGGACCUUUCCCCUUUCUGUUACAAACAAUCCACCACCUGCUGGUUGCUCCGUGUUUUCCCGUGACAGCAGUUUAUAGGUUACGGAGAAGUUUCCUCGCCGUUAAUCUGCGAUUGCUCACGGUCUGGGAUUGGGCCUUGACCUUCAGGUGCUGCGGGUUAAUCCCGUUAGCCCCGCGGGCAUCCGCUGUGAAGAUCUCAGCAGACCUGCGCCGGCUGUGCCACACUCUAGAUCCGUGUACCACCGGCAUGCAGAACCACCUGUAGGCACGCAGAAAUAAUCCCAGCGUUUGUCUCGUGUCCUGGAUGGUGAGAUCACGGUGCAGGACAUCCUCCGGUUUUCCUGACGUCUCCCCCCUGCUGAUGAGGAUUAUCUCAGUGGGCUGAUGAACUGUCACCGAGGACAAUAUGGAUAACUCGUGCAUAUAUGAGUGAGAUCAGUCAGCACAGUGGCUCUCCUGGAGGCUCUGAGACACUCCAUCUUCAGUCGUGCGCACAGGCCGCUUCAAAUGUUCUCGUUCCCACAUUUCUUCCUUUCUGAGCGAUCGACCCCCCGCGGAGCCUCUCGCUAAAGCAGCUUAUGGUUUGCUGCUGCUGGAACAAAGUCCUGCCUCCUAACGUCCUCUAACUCUUGACUUCUGUGUGGGCUUUGCAUGGCAUGCAUGAUCCUGAUUUCUGGGUGUCUCUCCUGUGAGCUGACAGUGUGUGAGCAACAAUGAAGCAGCUGAACGUCUCUUUCAGGCAGCUGAAGAAGCUGCUUUAAUGAAGCCACCAGUAAAGAGUUACUGAUUUAUUAUCAUUAUCAUCAGGACCAUCAGCCGUGUUUGAUGAGCGGC